ensembl:lncRNA
CCGGUAAGCAGCGCUUCUAGCUGAGAACCCUUGGGAUAAGGCAGAAUGCCUUGUUAAUGCCUGGGCUUCUCCAGAGGUAAAAAGAGCAGUGAUUCUGUGGUGUCUGAAAGCAAUGUCACGUUUAGUGGAGAAAAAGAGAGCAUCACUUUGAUCUCCAUGAAGACCAUUAACACAGAAACUGACACAGACUCCCCCCAGGUCUCCUCCAUUCACAGUACAACACUGGACUAUGAGGAGCAGGAGCAAAACAGGGACCUAUUGAACAACAAGCUGGUGUGAAAAUAAAGACCCUAGAUGUUCCGUUCCAAAACACAGAAAUCACCAAACUACUCAAACAAAAUAGUACAGUGGUUGUUCUAUACACCUGAGAUCAAGUUACCGGGAGUCCACACAGCACCUGAAUUCAUAGCUGUGGAGAUAUUAUACAUUAAGCUACAACUAGGCCUACCAUUGUGUCUGAUGUGUCUACAUGUUGCCAUUCUAAUACAAAUAUCCCAUGUUUUUGUGUGAUGAUAUCAAAACUGCCUUUAUGGAGACAAUGUUGUGUGUUCUGUUUCAUAUAUAUAUUUUAUUUAUUUAUUUUAUUUCACCUUUAUUUAACCAGGUAGGCCAGUUGAGAGCAAGUUCUCAUUUACAACUGCAACCUGGCCAAGAUAAAGCAAAGCAGUGCGACAAAAACAACACAGAGUUACACAUGGGAUAAACAAACGUACAGUCAAUAACACAAUAGAAAAAUCUGUAUACAGUGUGUGCAAAUGAAGUAAGGAGGUAAGGC